ensembl:lncRNA
CUUCAUUCAAGCCUGUCCAGCUACACCACUAGAGGUUACCAUGGCAACCAAACCCACAGACAGCAGGAGGAAGAGAAGCACCCCAACUCCCCCAGACUCCUCUGGGAGUCUACUCUUGGCCCAGACCUCCCAGUGUAUAUACCUUCUUCCCUCUGAUACCCUCUGCAUAUUGGGAGUAGAGGAAUGGACUCAGCCUAAGCAGCAACACCUCCCCCUUCUCUGCCCAAAAGGGAUCUCUAGGCCAUUCCACUCCCCUACCUAUCUCCUGGAACCUAUUGGUGAUCUGACCACCCCUGCAUGCCAGAACCUCUGGUUCAGUCUUCCCAGCUCAUUUAGUAUCUACCACCAUCAGUUUCUCUUUUGCCUCAGAAGUGUUUAUGAGCCUCUUGGACAGAAAGGCUUGGUGAAGUGGGCUAUGUUUUCUCUGUCAUCACCCAAGCUGUCCUUCAGCCUCUAUAAUGCCUCCCUCAUGUGGCCACUGCCUUUGGUCCCGGAAGUUUGCUCUAUUUUAACAAGCAUCCAUGCCCCAGGAUGGAGUUGAUUCCCAGCCACCUGUUUCUGCACCUGUGAGUCACCCUCUCCCCAGGACACUGUGUCCCAAGAAAGUAUCAGUUUCUGCAGCGGACCUUGGGUCAGCCUCGGAGACCCCUCAAGGAAAGAACUGACCCUGGGAAGCAAGGGAAAGGCUGGCUGGAGAGCCACAGGCCUAUAUGCUCACCAGAGCAGAGAAAGCAGAAAAGAGAGCCCUCGGGGAACACCUGGUCCUGGGGCUUUCCCAGUACCUGUUGGGACUCUCUGCUACCUGUGGCCUCACUCACAGGCCAGUGGCCCAGCUUUGACCCUGUAGUGCAGACAUGCCUCCUGGAGCUUGGGCCAAGCAGUCCCAGGACAGCCUCUGAUAGCAUCACAACCCUUUCUUCAGGCCUGUGGACACCCAGACAUAACUCUGUCAUCUGCACUCUAUUAUCGAUCUUCCAAUGAUCUUGGCAGAUCAGCUUACCCGGUCUGAGCAUUGGCUUCCACAUUCAAAAGUGGGGUAAAAAUGCGUGCCCACUAAACAUUGAGUUACAUGGAGAUAAAGUAAUAAAAAUAGGGGCGCCUGGGUGGCUCA